AGGAUUUGAGAGUGAGGGCCAACUUCGGUGAAUAUUGGGACACAGUUAAAAAUAACUGGCCGCAUGACUCGAUAGUGACUGCCAUCACGGCCACGGGUUUUGGAUGGAUUUUCAAGUUGGGGAAGGUCAGACAUGACAGGGGGGUGAUCACAGCCUUCAUUGAGAGGUGGCGUCCAGAGACGCACACUUUCCACUUAUCAUUUGGCGAGGCCACCAUCACACUGGAGGAUGUUCAUCACAUUCUCGGCUUACGGACCACUGGCCGACCACUUAUCCUGCACGGGUACACCUCCACUCCAGCUCAGAGGGUGGCUUUGGUACGGGAUUUACUUGGACUGGCUCCUGAGAACGAUGAUUUGAGGAAGGACAACUUGAAGAUCCAGUGGUUGAUUACACACUUUGGCAGAUGUCACCGGUUGGACGAGUUGGCUGAGGAUUUUGGUGCGCAGUCUAUCUUUCACAUUAGGGCACACCUACUUUGUGUGAUCGGAUCGUUGUUUCCUAGUGGCAGCGGGAACUAUGUGCCGCUAAGCCUUCUUCGGUUACUAGAUGACCUGGAGAGCCUGGGUGGUUAUAGUUGGGGUAGUGCUGUUCUUUCCUACACAUACAGGAAGAUGUGUGAUGCGAGCAGAGGAGUCAAAAUCAACUUCACUGGGUAUGCCACAUUACUUUAGGUGUGGAUAUACGAGCGGUUCCCUACGAUAGCUCCACAACACAGGUCUCAACCCCAGUUCACUUACCCACUUGCGCUUAGGUGGGUGGCUUCAGUUACCGUACUCAGGUGCCGCACUCUCAGAGUCGUAUCACCCGGUACGAGUUGGAUAACAUGGGUGUGGAACAGUUUUUGUGGUGGCCGUAUGCAGCUUUAGAUGAUGAGUUUCAGCCCGAUCAGACAUUGUACUUGCGGUGGACAGCUCCCACCCCUUUGAUGUACAUGGCAUAUGUCGAGUGGUGUUAUACUGACAGGGUCACGAGGCAGUUUGGGUUCGUUCAGGACAUACCCACAUCCUCCGCACGUAGGAAUCAUUAUCAGUUGCACGACGCCGUCAACGAGUCCAUUAACUGGCAGGGCGCCAGGGAGACAUACAUUCGUUUGUGGGAUACGUCCCUUGACCGAGCUAUGACAUCUCCUCCAUUCAUUUUGGGCGAUGGUUGCUCUCCCGCAUACAUGCCUUGGUACCUCGAGGUUACAUGUAGAUACAUGGUUAACCCAAUAUUCUGGCAUACAGCGGAUGCUUUUCAGGGGA